CGAGGGGAGGACGGCGAGGACAGCUGACUCCCGUUCUCGGUCUUAAAUCACCAGCUUCCCUACAUUCAUAUUUUCUCCUUUCAGCUUGGCUGUCAGUGCCACAUGGCAUGGCCUGCUGUCCUCUGGAGUGGCAGUGAGCUUUCUGACGCAUCCCCAGCUGCUACGAAAACGGCCCACGUAAUUCAGAGGACCAGAUCACACAACAUGACCAUGGGCUUGGAGGUGGUGUUUGAACGACAGCAGUCGGGGCGGCCGGAGCGUGGCAAGACACUGUAAGCCAGAGCUCUUGUUGUGGAAACAAAAUCCAAGGCAGAGGCUAACAUUCAGACUUGAUCUCAGCUCUCCCUGGGCAUUGAUAUUAAGAAGACAGAAGCCGAGGCUCAGGAGAGCCCCCCAUUUUCUGGUUCACCUGCGCCCUGGAGAGCUCUGCACAGCAGGCCAGGCCACCUGGGAGCAGGCUCCCCGUUAUGGAUCCCCAUACGAAGAAAAGCACGCGUAACCCGGUCACCCUUCACCAGAGCCCUAUCCUGAAACCCCAGCGGGGCCAACACCACUCACUGCCCCAGGGGUCCCAGCUGCCACCUUCUUGGUUCAUUUGUUUGAGAGCAAAUUUCAUUGGUUCCAAGGGAAAAGAAUAUGCUGGUUUUGUCACAUGCCCCAUGGGGAGGACACAUCCUCCCCUUCCGAGCCUCCAGGGCCCACAGAGAUGCCAUGCUCGGGUCCAUGCUGGGGUGCUGCCUGCCCCCCACCUCGCCCCCAUUCACUGCUCAUACUCAACGCCCAACUCACAGGGGCUGCCCCAACCCCCAGAUGAGGUCACACACACACACACACCCCCGUGAUAGUUUCCCGCCAUCACCCUCUUUCCUCCCCACUCAGAAAUGAAUGUCCUCUUAAAGCCAUAAAGGAAAAGACUACAUCACAUUUUACAUUUCACGUGGAAAAGGAUCUCAAAAAACAACUGGUGAGGGGAUUUGCAACAUGUGACUGACAGAGAUAAUACCCUCACAUAUAAACAGCUCUUACAAAUAGAUAGAAAGGAC